UACGUAGGUGGCAAGCGUUGUCCGGAUUUACUGGGCGUAAAGAGCGCGCAGGCGGUCGUUCAAGUCGCGUGUGAAAGCCCCCGGCUCAACUGGGGAGGGUCACGCGAUACUGAUCGACUCGAAGGCAGGAGAGGGUAGUGGAAUUCCCGGUGUAGUGGUGAAAUGCGUAGAUAUCGGGAGGAACACCAGUGGCGAAAGGCGACUACCUGGCCUGUUCUUGACGCUGAGGCGCGAAAGCUAGGGGAGCAAACGGG
rnacentral:rRNA from 1 species